CCGUGCUACUUGGAACUUUUUGUUCCAGGUAGCUGAAUCUAAAACAACAACUCUCUAGAUAUCCCAAAUCCUUAUCCUCAAAUUCUUUCCAAGUGCUAUAUUGACAUGAUACCUUGUCGCUUUCUCCUGACUAUCAUUGUGAGGGACGAGUGAUGUCACUCUAAUUUCACGCCAAAUUGGUAACUAAUUUAGUUUAUUGUGGAUAGAUCGAGUUAACUUUAGUUGUAUUUUGGUGGUAGUUGUAAAGUUGAAAAGCAGUUAAUUAUUGUAUAGCCAUUACAAAACCAACCUCUUUAACGAUGGCUGUAAGGAGGCUGUCCCUUGACAUGUACACUUAUUAAUGUAUGUUUUAAUAACACUUUUUACAGUUAAUGAAUUAUGUAGUCCUUCAAGUUUUCACGAGUUGUCAUUCUUUUAUUUCAGCGGCACCUGUGCGCCCAGGAGGAUCAAAGACGCAGUCCAAGUUCCGUAGUUGUUGCAUCUCCUAGUUAGGGAGAACGGACUUCCUUUCGUGGUUCUGGAACUGGUGACAUCUCCUAGUCAGGGAGAACUGUCUUCCUUUCGUGGGUCUGGAACUGGUGACAUCUCCAAGAUCUCUCGCCGUCAAAAGCACUGAGAAAGAAGACCACUGAGGGCAUUUUUGUAUAUUUCUGAUACAUUAAUAAUUCCCUAUCUUAUCCCACUGACAUUUAAGCUCCUACUCUGGGUGGGACUGACGCUCUAGAUAGUGAGUAUCUCAUCACCAUCAUCAUCAUCACCAACCCAACUGGUUUUGUAUACAAGUUACCGUGACGGCACAAUGUUUGUACAAGAGGUGAAGGGGUAACUAAAACUUUACAGAAUUUUGCAAAAUAAUUUUUUCUUUUUAAUAUUGAGACUGUUUUGCCCUAUUAGGUUACAGCAUAUAUGUGAAAAUUAGAUAAUGUAUUUGGUUCGUUCUUGUUGCUUAUCAAUUAGUUUUUUUAGCUUGACCAUUAAACCCGUAGGCAUGCAGUAUAUAAUUUGUAAUUUUCUUAAUUUAACUAAUGUACGGUUCUCUACGAAUACUAUUCUCAUUGCCACUGUACACUAACUUAAGUCUUAACCCUUAAACUGCUAAGCUAUUUAAAGUCUUACAUUGUGUUGCACAUCUCAAAAAAAAAACUUGACAAAUUUGAUUAAAGCAGAUGGUAUUCUGGGAUUUGAACGCAGAAAGUAAUCUCGGAAAGCGGUUGAAGUAAUUUAAGGGUUAAUCCCGUACAAGUUGCAGAUAUAUAAAGUUUGUUACAUCAACAUUUUUUGCAUGACGGUCAACCUGCGCAAUCUGUUGCUCUCUCUCAGCGUGACCCGAUCCUUUUGGGCACGGAGAGUGCAGCAACUUGUGCUCUAAUGUAGCGGGUUUAAGAACUGUUUCUUACGAUGCUUUUGGGCACGGAGAGUGCAGCAACUUGUGCUCUAAUGUAGCGAGUUUAAGAACUGUCAGCGUGACCCGAUCCUUUUGGGCACGGAGAGUGCAGCAACUUGUGCUCUAAUGUAGCGAGUUUAAGAACUGUUUCUUACCAUGUUAAAAAACACAAAAAAUUUAAGAUUAAGUUUUUAACCAAAAGUUAUUCAGUAUUUGCUAAUUAUUAAAAGGUAGAGUUGAUGAUAUUGUAUAAACCUUUAUAUGCAUUAGUUUGAUAUUUUUAAUUUGAUAUUUGAAGAUUUUCAAUUUCGGUAGCAUGGGUGUAUUGAACACAGUUAAUGUACCAUCGGUCUGAUAGUUUGGUGGUCUGUAAAUAGUACCUAUAUAUAGUAUACAUACUAAUAUACACUUAUAUAUAUAUUAUAUAUAUAUAUGCACAUACGGUAUAUAUAUAUUUGUAACACAUUUCCACAGUGUGUCGAGUGUGUGUGUACGUGUGUGUGUAGAGUGGCGCACUACCUGCAGGUGUAGAGUGGCGCACUACCUGCAGGUGUAGAGUGGCGCACUACCUGCAGGUGUAGAGUGGCGCACUACCUGCAGGUGUGGAGGAAAUGACUGUAUUUUAUUGUAUGAUGUCACUUGUACAUGGCAGGUGUGAUUGUCAUAUGUACAUGACUUCUUACGGGUGUGUGGCAGACAUGAUCCGACUCUGGUAGUCGGAGAGUAGAUAGAUGUACCAGGCUCUCAAGAUAUCCGGGGAUUAUAUUUAGAACACCUGUCUGAGAACCUUCACAGCACACUGAGGGCCCCUGGGGCCAACCCAAAUGAAUUAGUAUUGCCUAAUAAAACAAUGUUCAGUUCAUCACCGUAGCUUUUGGUUCAUCAUAUUUUCGGUUGGCCUCGGAGGUAACCAGAACUAGCCUUAGAUACCUUUUGUCAAUAGGUAAAUUUUGUUUUUGAAUGUUAUCAAGUUGUCGAGGCAAACUAUGCAUUUCAUAUACACCCUCGCGCUGUGGGUUCCCUUUGAAUAGGUUUCCCCAGCAGAAGAUGACGAGGAAAGGGGGCAGCCUGUCAACACGUACGCGGAGGGGCGUUUAAUAACUUUCUAAAUCUCACUCAAGCUCUCCUAACAUUGAAGGAGAAAUUUGCUUGAAAUGAUCAUCAUUUCAUUACUGUUCAUAAUUUAGCUUAAUUGGUUUAUGGUGGAUCCCAUUUCUCAUUUCCAGUAAAGGAUAUAUUGUUUGCAUAAGCUUGGGCAUCUGAAUGGAAUGAAUAAAAGUGUAGUUUUAUGUUUUAGUAAAUAAAAUUAUUUUAAAAUAAUGAAUUACUAAAGUGCCUAAGACUGAUGACCAUAUGUGCAAUAAUUGGAUAUAAUUAUGGUAGUAAGGGCCAACAACUUAUCCUGAAAGAGUUAAGGUAUUAAAUCGCCAACUUAACCGCGAAGAAGCGCCGCCGCCGCCUCGUACGUCUGGCUCUCAACCCUGAGACUUUCCAGCACCCGUAGUAGUCCGUGAUCCAGUGAUCCUUGUGUCUGGAGUGUGAGAGGUAAGGAUCGUGUUGUGUACAGAGUAGUAUUGAUAAAUUUUCAUUACGCUUUUUCAUGAGUACCGAGAUGAAUAAAUGAUUAAAGUAC